UACGGAGGGUGCGAGCGUUGUCCGGAAUCAUUGGGCGUAAAGGGCGCGUAGGUGGCCCCUCAAGCGUGCGGUGAAAGUCAGGGGCUCAACCCCUGAUCGGCCGUGCGGACUGGGGAGCUUGAGCACUGUAGAGGCAGGCGGAAUUCCGGGUGUAGCGGUGGAAUGCGUAGAGAUCCGGAAGAACACCGGUGGCGAAGGCGGCCUGCUGGGCAGUUUUGCUGACACUGAGGCGCGACAGCGUGGGGAGCAAACAGG
rnacentral:rRNA from 1 species